GUCGAGGAUCUUUGGCAAUGGGCGCAAGCCUGACCAAGCGACGCCGCGUGAGCGAUGAAGGCCUUCGGGUUGUAAAGCUCUGUCGAGGGGGAGGAAGCCGCAAGGUUGACCUAUCCCUGGAGGAAGGACGGGCUAAGUUCGUGCCAGCAGCCGCGGUAAGACGAACCGUCCAAACGUUAUUCGGAAUCACUGGGCUUAAAGGGCGCGUAGGUGGGUUGGCCAGUCUAUGGUGAAAUCCUCCGGCUUAACCGGAGAACUGCCGUGGAUACUGCCAGUCUCGAGGAGGGUAGGGGCGUCUGGAACUAGCGGUGGAGCGGUGAAAUGCGUUGAUAUCGCUAGGAACUCCGGUGGCGAAGGCGAGACGCUGGACCCUUUCUGACACUGAGGCGCGAAAGCCAGGGGAGCGAACGGGAUUAGAAACCCCGGUAGUCC
rnacentral:rRNA from 1 species